CGUCAUUAUCGCAGCUAUUAGA
rnacentral:miRNA from 1 species